rnacentral:tRNA from 2 species
GGGCAAUUAACUCAACUGGUAGAGUGUUUCAUUUACAUUGAAAAUGCUAAUGGUUCAAAUCCAUUAUUGCUCA